rnacentral:rRNA from 1 species
GACGAACCGUGCAAACGUUGUUCGGAAUCACUGGGCUUAAAGGGCGCGUAGGCGGGCCAGCCAGUCUGUGGUGAAAUCCUCCAGCUUAACUGGAGAAGUGCCGUGGAUACUGCUGGCCUCGAGGAGGGUAGGGGCAUCUGGAACGGUCGGUGGAGCGGUGAAAUGCGUUGAUAUCGACCGGAACUCCGGUGGCGAAGGCGAGGUGCUGGGCCCUUUCUGACGCUGAUGCGCGAAAGCCAGGGGAGCAAACGGG